AUAAAAUUAUUAUGGUUUAUAUAAUUUAUUUUAAAUUUAUUUUACAUAUAAAUUUUAGUAAGUAUUAUUUAUUUUAAUAAUAAUUAAAAUAAUAAAGUAGUAAUUAAUAUUAAAAAUUUAAGAAAUUAAGAUUUAGUAAUAUAAAAAUUAAAAACUAAUUUUGUGCCAGCAGUUGCGGUUAAACAAAAUUUAAAAUAAAUUUUUUUAGUAAUUAAUUUAUAUAAAAUUAAUUUAAUUUAAAAUUUAAAUUAUUAGGUGAAAUUUUAAUUUAAUAAAAAUUAAUUUUUUAUUUAUGAUUAUUAAUAAAUUUUUAAAAAAACUAGGAUUAGAUACCCUAUUAUAAAAAAUUUAAAAUUAAAAUACUAAAAUAGUAAUUAAAUUUUAUUGAAACUUAAAUAAAUUGGCGGUAUUUUAGUUCAUUUAGAGGAAUCUGUUUAAUGAUUGAUAUUCCACGAAUAAAUUUACUUAAUUUAAUAAUUUAUAUAUCGUUGUUAAAAAAAUAUUUUAAAAUAAUUUAAUAAUAUUUAAAAAUUUAAAUUUAAAAUUAAAUCAGAUCAAGAUGUAGUUUAUAAUUAAGAAUAUAAUGGAUUACAAUAAGUUUAUUUAAAUGGAUAUAAGUUUGUAAUAGUUUAUUGAAGGUGGAUUUAAAAGUAAUUUUAUUUAAUUUUUUAAAAUGAUUAAAAAUUAAAAUAUGUACAUAUUGCCCGUCACUUUCAUAAAUAAAUUGAAAUAAGUCGUAACAAAGUAGAGGUACUGGAAAGUGUUUCUAGAAUGUU
rnacentral:ncRNA from 1 species